AUGCAAUGUGGACGUGGCUUCAGUGUUGGCAGCUAUGUUAUAACUUGGCACCAGGAGAACCCAGGGAGCCCGCCCCAGUACCUCCUAAGCUACUACUCAGACUCAGAUAAGCACCAGGGCUCCGGGGGCCCCAGCCGCUUCUCUGGCUCCAAAGACGCCUCGGCCAACGCAGGGAUUCUGCACGUCUCUGGGCUGCAGCCUGAGGACGAGGCUGACUGUCACUGUCUGAUCGAACACAGCAGCGAAUCUCACGGUUACCCAACCCCGCACUGCAGUGUCCCCAUCGUGGCCUGGGCUCCUCUGCUCCUCGCCCUCCUCGCCCUCCUCACAGGGUCCCUGUCCCAGCCCGUGCUGACCCAGCCGCCCUCUGCAUCUGCCUCCCGGGGAGCCUCGGCCAAGCUCACCUGCACCCUGAGCAGCGGCUACAGUGGUUAUUCUGUAGACUGGUACCAGCAGAGCCCAGGGAAGGGCCCCCGGUUCGUGAUGCGAGCGGGCAGCAGUGGUAUUGUGGGAUCCAAGGGGGAUGGGAUCCCUGAGCGCUUCUCAGUCUCAGGUUCAGGCCUGGAUCGGUACCUGACCAUUCAGAACAUCCAGGAAGAGGACGAGGCUGACUACCACUGUGGGGCAAACCAUGGCAGUGGGAGCAGCUUCGUGUAAUCCACAGUGACACAGGCAGGGGGGAAGUGAGACAGAAACCUCCACUUGAUCUGCCCUGGCCCCACCUGUCUCUAUUGGCCUGACUCACGGUUCAGAGGGGGGUGUCCUAACCCUGCCUUGAGAGCUUUCAUCUUCCUAUGUAUUUGGGGAUUCUAAUUCCCAGCCAGUUGUUCCCCUGUGGGCACAUAACUCCUCAGGAGUUUGGGGAACAUUUAUAAGUUGUACAUGGACAUCUGAGGUUGUUGCUACUUGCCCAGCCCCUGAUGGAAUUUUAGUUUCCAGGUUGUAGAGCUAUCCGCAGGUGCAGUCAUAGCACGAUUACCAUCCCCAACUCCUGCUACCUUUGUCUGUAUUCAACCUUUGUGACCUGCCCACACAGUGAUGGGCACUGAAGAUCUCCCUGGGGACACAAGGCCUUCACCCUGACCCAUAGUCACGUGUGCACACGUGAUCCACCUGGACUUCACCCAGCUCCCAUCACCUCCACGUGCACGGAGCUCUCGUGAUGCACGUGCCUGGCCGUGUUAGAGGCAGAGAGAGAAAAAGAGCUGGCACACACAGGAGGAUGGGAGAAUCUGAACCUGCUCUGCGCCUGAGGCUUUGGGAGAGACCCCUACUGCUCUCCACAGCGUGGAUCGGUUCACUUGCACGGAGAAAGCUCGGGUGAGAAUCACUCUGCAAUGCUUUUCUGAUGCUAAGUAUCUCAAUUGAGGUAAAUUUCACAGGUUAAGGGCACACCCCUAUACAUGACUGCUCCUGCUGCAGACACCAGCUACAGCAAGUGCCGGGUUUCCAGGCAUUAAGCCUCAGGACCCCUGAAGACACUGAAGAUGGCCCGUGACCAGCAGAGAGCGCUGUGGACCAUCCAGGCUCACAGCUGCCUGGGCCCGCCUGCGGAGCUGCCCCCUGUGCUCACUGCUGGCGCUCUGAGGCCUGGCGCUGUCGGGCCUGACGGAGGCUCCUGGGCAGGGUCCUGUGCAUGCUCCCAACAGCUGCUCGCUCCACAACCCUCCUGGGCUCACGCGCAGAGCAGGCCCCUGCGUCAGCCUCCUCUGUCCUCAGGUCCUCUCUCAGGCUCCUGAAUCAGUGGCCAGGUGGGAUCUGAGGGAUCCCAGAAGGGUGGGAGUGAGGUGGCAUGAGCAGCCCCUUCUUUGCCUGGGGGCACCAGGAGGGUAAGAGAAGCCUGGGCAGCCCAGCCUCACUGUGGGGCCUCGAGGAGGGCCGGUGCCCACCAUGGCCUGGGCUCCUCUCAUACCCGAGUCUUGCUCUAGCUGUAUGGAGACAAGGAACAGAUCUCCCUUUCUUACUAGUCCCCCAAUGCAAACAGAAUCACUUCCUCCCCAGAAGCACAAGUAGCCCUCAAGGUUGCUGGGUGCGAUGAGGAAGACAGCAGAAGUCCCAUGUGUGUGGCCCACUUACUGCCCCCGACAUGCCCCUGCCCCUGGCCCCUUUAUUGGUCAUUCCCUGAACUCUGAAACUUGAGGGAGGUCGACCUUCUCUCCCUCUAGAUCUUGCACACUCGAGGAGCUCCGAACUUCCGGUGCGGGGCGGCCGCUCCGUGUUAAGGGCGUGGCUCUCAGACCCAUCCUGGGUCCGCUUCCUCCAAGUUAGGCUGAGGAGUUCUCAUGUUUUCCCUCGAUUGCAUUGGCUGAUGUGAUGUUGCACAAAUACAUUUUUCACAGAUGUGAACAUUAUAAACCCUUUUCCCAUGAAGCUCUAACAAAUACACUUGUGCGGGACCCAAAGCAGGUAAACUACGGGGCCUCGAGGGUGUUUUCCUGUGGCAGAAGAGGCGCUCCUGUAAGGAAGGGGAGUUCGGCUUAUAGACAUGUUCUUUUUAUAUAAAUCCUCAUACUUAAAAAAUUACAUACGAACUAACUAAACUGGAAAUAUUUUAAAUAUAUCACAGUCAAAAAAUGAGGAACUUCUGGACUAGCAUUCAAGGGCAAAUGAGGACACAGAGAAAAAACAGCAGAAGACGAUUUUCCCUGACGGCAUUAUAUGAUUUUGGCAAAGGCAGACACCAGACUUGGCCUGUGCCAAGGGGGCUGGGAACCCUAACAGGUGACACUUGCAACAACAGCACAAUGAUUCAACCUGUACAAGUCACCCCUGUGUAAUUAUUACCAGGUGAAAAACACCUGGGAACUUGAAGCCUUGAACUUCAAGAUGAGGCCCCACUGGGCUAGGACGGUGGACCAGUAUGUCUCACGUCUUUAUGAGACGGGAGACACAGGGAGAAUGCCCCGUGCGGAUGUGGGCAGAGACUGAGCUUAUGCGGAGACGAGCCAAGGGACACCAAACACUGCUGGCAAACCACCCUCGCCAGGAAAAGGCAAGAAAGGAUCCCCCUAGAGGUUUCAGAGGGAACAUGGCCCUGCCCUGUGCAUUUUGGACUACUAGCCUCCAGAACUAUAAAAUAGUAAAUUUCUGUUGUCUUAAGCCACCCAGUGGGUGAUACAUUGUUAUGGCAGCCCUAGGAAACUAUUGCACCAAGCAAUCAAAAUAACUACAUUUCUGAAAUUGGAUAUAUUUCUUUCACCUUGGUCCUCAGCUUUCCAUAAUUAUUAUCAGAUUUGUGUUCAUAUUUCUACAUUUAUACACUGUUAUUCUGGUGCUAUUUAAGGUUAAUAAAGAAAUUAUCCUUGCUGUGAGCUAGGCUGAUGCCA